rnacentral:rRNA from 1 species
GUGCCAGCCGCCGCGGUAAGACGAGCCUCACAAACGUUAUUCGGAAUUACUGGGCUUAAAGGGUGCGUAGGCGGCGCGGAAAGUUGGGUGUGAAAUCCCUCGGCUCAACCGAGGAACUGCGCCCAAAACUACCGUGCUCGAGGAAGAUAGAGGUGAGCGGAACUCACGGUGGAGCGGUGAAAUGCGUUGAUAUCGUGAGGAACACCCGUGGCGAAAGCGGCUCACUGGGUCUUUUCUGACGCUGAUGCACGAAAGCUAGGGGAGCAAACGGGAUUAGAAACCCUCGUAGUCC